UCCGUAGGUGAACCUGCGGAAGGAUCAUUAGUGAAUUUUAGGGUGCCCUCUCGCCUAACUCCUUUAACUGGGUUGGCGUCAGAGGGGCCUGACCUCCACUUUCUACCCUGUGCACUAUUUCUAAAGGCGUUCAGAUUGAUGUUUGAAAGAACGUCGGUCUGAAACCUUUUCAAUUCAUAAACACGAGUCAAAGAAUGUAUUAUAAAAUCAUAACAAAAAAAACUUUCAACAACGGAUCUCUUGGCUCUUGCAUCGAUGAAGAACGCAGCGAAAUGUGAUAAGUAAUGUGAAUUGCAGAAUUCAGUGAAUCAUCGAAUCUUUGAACGCACCUUGCGCUCUCUGGUAUUCCGGAGAGCAUGUCUGUUUGAGUGUCAUGAACUCUUCAACCCGCCCUUUUCUUUAUGAUUAUGUGUCGGUGUUUGGAUUCUGAGCUUUUGCUACUUUACCGUAGCUGGCUCGUAAGACAUUAGCAUUUCAACUUUCGUAAUCGGAUUGACUUGGCGUAAUAGACUAUUCGCUGAGGACACUCUUCUCUCUUUUGGGAUUGAGUGGCCGAGAUAAGAAUUAACGAAGAGCUUCCAACCCCUCUAGUCAUUAAAAACUUUUUAAGAUUAGACCUCAAAUCAGGCAGGAUUACCCGCUGAACUUAAGCAUAUCAAUAAGCGGAGGA
rnacentral:rRNA from 1 species